GACGAACGCUGGCGGCGUGCCUAAUACAUGCAAGUCGAGCGCAGGAAAUCAUCCGAACCCUUCGGGGGGACGUUGAUGGAAUGAGCGGCGGACGGGUGAGUAACACGUAAAGAACCUGCCCUCAGGUCUGGGAUAACCACGAGAAAUCGGGGCUAAUACCGGAUGGGUCAUCGGACCGCAUGGUCCGAGGAUGAAAGGCGCUUCGGCGUCGCCUGGGGAUGGCUUUGCGGUGCAUUAGCUAGUUGGUGGGGUAAUGGCCCACCAAGGCGACGGUGAAGAGCCGACCUGAGAGGGUGAUCGGCCACACUGGGACUGAGACACGGCCCAGACUCCUACGGGAGGCAGCAGUAGGGAAUCUUCCACAAUGGACGAAAGUCUGAUGGAGCAACGCCGCGUGAACGAUGAAGGCCUUCGGGUCGUAAAGUUCUGUUGUAAGGGAAGAACAAGUGCCGCAGGCAAUGGCGGCACCUUGACGGUACCUUGCGAGAAAGCCACGGCUAACUACGUGCCAGCCGCCGCAGUAA
rnacentral:rRNA from 1 species